UCCGAAUUGGUGUAGUGGUUAACAUUGCCGCCUCUCACCCUAUGCGACUUACGUAAUAUGACCAUGUGACGUUCGCGGCAGCCAGGGGUUCGAUUCCCCUAUUCGGAA